GUCGAGAAUCUUUCACAAUGGGGGCAACCCUGAUGGAGCGACGCCGCGUGGAGGAUAAGGUCUUCGGAUUGUAAACUCCUGUCAUGCGUGAACAAGGUUGCUUGGUUAAUACCUGGGCAAAUUGAUGGUAACGCAAGAGGAAGAGACGGCUAACUCUGUGCCAGCAGCCGCGGUAAUACAGAGGUCUCAAGCGUUGUUCGGAAUCACUGGGCGUAAAGGGUGCGUAGGGGGCGUGGUAAGUCAGAUGUGAAAGCCCGGGGCUCAACCUCGGAACUGCAUCCGAUACGGCCAUGCUAGAGUACUGGAGAGGGUACUAGAAUUCUCGGUGUAGCAGUGAAAUGCGUAGAUAUCGAGAGGAAUACCAAAGGCGUAGGCAGGUCACUGGACAGUUACUGACACUGAGGCACGAAGGCCAGGGGAGCGAACGGGAUUAGAUACCCCUGUAGUCC
rnacentral:rRNA from 1 species